AUUUGAUUUUUUCGGACAUUGUUUAUUUGUUUGUAUUAAGAUCUUCACCGGUCUAUAACCCAUACCGGUGUAUAUAAAUGCUAGGAAUCUCGUAACUUUGCAACAUUCGUCUACUAUCACAGAAUAUUAAACAGCCAAGACUCAUUCGACAAUUCAAAAUGUCUCUACUUAGCCAACUAUGUGUAUUUUUGGUUCUCAUCGUGGCAGUAUAUAGUCAAGUUUUGCCACCCAUGGGCUAUUCAACCAACAAUCAGAACAACCCGGGUUUAUUUCCUAACCCAUUCGGGCAACAGACGUCCAACCAAAUCGACCCUCUUACUCUACUAUUGUUGACUCGAGGCGAAGGUGGAAUCAGACGUUUUCUUCCCUUUCUCUUAUCUGGACAAUCUGGACAGAAUAACCAACUUUUAAACAUUCUUCUGUUGAGGGGUCUCUCUGGAUAAUUGCUCUAUUGAAAUAUGUAAGCCCGAGUCACCUCAUGUAUUACACUAACUAUAUUUUAUAUGAUUAUACCAGAAAAAAAUAAGUACACGUAUUAGACAAUAUAUUUUACUUCUACCGUGACAUCUGAACGAUUUUUCUGAAAAUAUAGU